GUUUUCGUGGAGUAGGAGCUCGCUGCCCUUCCUUUGAGUCGGAUCGCUGCCAAAGUUUUGGGAGAGACGGUGGUUCGAAUCCACCCGAAAACC